rnacentral:rRNA from 1 species
UCCAGCAGUCCAAAAUAUUAGUCAAUGCUCGAAAGAGUGAACUAGCUAACUGAAAUCAAUUAAAAAAAUUGAUAACAUAAGGGAAAAUAAUGAUAUUACCUUAUUAUUAGUGUCGUCCAAAUCUGGUGCCAGAAGACUCGGUAAGGCCAGAGACACAAACGUUAAUCGUCUUAAUCAGGCGUAAAGGGUUUGUAGGCGGCUUUAAAAUUUACUUAUAAAAAAAAAAAUAAAAAAUAAUAAGUACAGAAUAAAAGCUAGAAUCAAAUAGAGGAUAAAUGAAAGAAUGCUUAGAGUAGGUCUGAUAUCCUUAGAUACUAAGUAGAAUAUUAAAGGCGAAAGCUUUUUUUCCAUUAAUGAUUGACGCUCAGAAACGAAGGUGAGGAUAGGAAAUAGGAUUAGAUACCCAGAUACCCCUCUCUGUCAACGAUGAAUGGUAGUUAUUAGUAAAAUUUAUUAAUGGCAAUGUUAACACGAUAACCAUUCCGCCUUGUGAGUACAACUGCAAAGUUGAAAACAAAAAAAUUAGUCGGUUUCGGAGCAAACGAAGUGAAGCAUGUUAUUUAAUUCGAUAAAUCCGCAAGUG